rnacentral:lncRNA from 1 species
AAACUGAUCCUCAAAUUUACACAAAAAAGAAAUGAGCAAGAAUAGUGAUUUAAAAGUAUGAAAAAGGAGUUCCCAUUGUGGCUCAGUGGGUUAAGAACCCGACGGUGUCUGUGAGGAUGUGGGUUCAAUCCCUGGCCUUACUCAGUGGGUUAAGGAUCUGGCGUUGCCACGAGCUGCGGCAUAGAUCACAGAUGCUGCCUCGGAGCCGGUGUUGCCAUGGCUGUGGUGCAGGCCGGCAGCUGCAGCUCCAGUUCGACUCCGAGCCUGGGGACUCCCACAUGCUGCAGGUGCAGCCGUGAAAAGAAAAAAGAAGUGUGACAUGAGCAAUGGCAGGCGAAGUUGAACGGUACUACUAGAUAGGAAAAGAUAGUACGAAGCCUUAGUAAUCAGAGCGGGGAAUGCUGGCUUAUACACAGACAGACAGGCUCGUGCAGUAGAAUAUAAUAUCCAGAGAUAGUUAGAAAGUCACGCAAAAUACAAUAUAAUAAAAUUGACGUAUCAAGCCACGGGGAAAAAUACAGACCACAAAUAAACGGGAGUGGAGCAGAUGGGUAGCUGCUUAAACAAAAAUGAAGUUGAAUCCACUCCUCAUGCCUCACUGAGUUAACUUCAGAUGAAUAAAAAAUUUAGCUUUUUAAAAAACCUCAGCAGUUCUAAAGGAAAACUGGGGAAAUAUCUUUACUCUUGCAGUAAGCAUAAGUCUUUCUGUAGCCCCAAAUCCAGAAGCCAUGAAAGAUUCCUAAGUUUAACCAUACAAAGAAAGAGCGCUGAUGCUUGAGAAACAGUGUAAGUCAAAGAAUAAAUAAAUAAUAAAUUGUGAGGAAUGUUUUCGCAUCAGAUCACAAAGGAGUCACCUCUUUCACAGGAAAACACCUCCAGCUGUCAGUAAGACCCACCUACCCAACAGAAAAUGGGCCAAAGACCGGAGUUAAAAGAAGUAUAAAUGAAUCUUAAGCCCACGAAACCGAAAGGACUGGAGUGGAGGUGGUUUCAUUGCUGUAACCACCAGAGUAAAACCUAAAACUGAGUGAAGUCUGGAUUCCUAUCACUUUUGAAAAUCAUGGGAAUUUCCAAUGUGAGAUUUUUCCAUAGUUUAUUUUCAGCUACAGAGUAUAAGCAAGUUUCUCCUGCUGCCUUAGAAUUGUUGACACCGGAUUAUAGUCAGUUAUCACCCUGAACCAGUUUAGGCUAAGCAGGUAACAGGUAACAUCUGAAUUCUUGUGGCCACAUUUUUAACUAUUGCCUAAAGCCGGUGGGAAGAGAAGGAGCAGCCCAAACACACACAUACACACUUUGGUCGUUAUUAAAAUCAUAGAAGAUUGCCACUGUUAGUGAUGCUGUAAUCCUUUUCAAUUAGCUCACAGAGGCCUAUUAAUAAGAUGUGGCUGGUGAUUCCUUGCAAUCAUCCAUUUUGCAGUUUUAUUGCCGGUAACUAGCUAUACCCUUUUAUUUAUUAAUAGCUCAACACAAGUCAUUUUGUCAAUUAUCUCUUAUUUCUGAAAUAUUGUUCAUGUCAGUGCAAUGAAAAAAAGAAAAGAAAGGAAAAAGAAAAUAGAACUCCUGUAUCUUUUAUCAAAACCUGGGCAGGAUCUGUCAUCAAAGCAGCAGGGACUUGACAAUGACGUAAACACGGUCACAGAAAGCACAGCCCUUGCUUCCCUCCUGCUACCGCCACACCAACGGGAUGAUGAGAGAGAUCAGACAAUGAACACAGAUUAUUUUCAUCAUUUAAAAAAGAGAAGAACUCGUUCAUGUAAACGGUGGACCGUGAGACAGACCUGAUGUUAUCUGAGCGUCUCAGGCGAGUCGCAUCACCGGCUCAGAGUCCGUCGUCCCAAACGUCCACUGAGGGUGACCACGCCUGCCCUGCAGUGGUUUUGAGUCGUGGAUGGGCUGACGUUUGUGGCGUUCGGAGCACAGGCUCUGGGGGAACGGGCACCCCGUGAAAGAGGCUCUCUCCCCACACACCGGUGGAGGAAGGACCCCUGGAAGCCAAGCCCGGCUGGUGCCCUGUGUCCUGGCGUCCUCUGUUGGGCUCUUCUGCAGCUGUGCCAGCGCACACGCUCUGGCCCCUGCUUGUCGGGAGAAUCCUGGCUCUUAAUCCACAUGCCCAGAAACCGGGACUGGGGGAGACGAACUGGCUCUAUGAGAUCCCCGAAGGCUGUUCCCCUCAUUAUGUUUGUGAGGAGGUUUCAGUGCGGGAAACUGGAACGGCUGUGAAAGUAUUUAACAGAGAAAACUGAGCACUUCGAAAACGUUUGGAAGAGCUGGAGGGGUGAGCGCUAAGCUGGACCUUCAGCAGCAAUUCCCAGACCUAAGCCACCUGGGAAGCCACUGCCUCUGCACACUCUGGGCGCACCCGAGGAACGAAUUCCUGCAGGUGAGCUUGAAAGGUCACUUGCUAUCUACGUAACCUUGAACGGGUUACUCAAACCCUCGAGAAUCAAGACGAAGACGCUGCCGUCACAGCAACUGCCUCUCGGUACCUGGAAAUGGCUGUACUAGCUCCACAGUCUGGAUCAUGAGCAAACCCACGCGAACGAAGCCAGAUACAGUUGGGAAGUGGCCUCCGCCUCCGUCCGCCUUCUCAAAUCUUGAGCACGUACAUUUCACGGGCAGGAUGUAAGUCACAUCCAGGGCCCCAGGGAGGCUGGAAGUUCUGUUGCAGCCGGGGUUUUUUGGCUUGUCAGACUAUGCAGUACAGAAAGGCACUGGAAAGACUUGGAAGUCAGUGCUAACGACCAAACAAGCAAAUCCAUCACAGGGAGGGUUACUGAGUUCCUGGGAAACUGGGAACUCAGUUCCCUGCCUACACCUGUUUGUGCUGCAGCGGCUCCGAGAGAAGGCAGGGCGUAAGCGCACCGUGCUCACUGGAAAGUGAAGGCGCCGCUCAAGCAUCCCUCACCCAUUAUCUCCUCCUAACGAUGCAGAGAUGUUCACCCCUCAUUUCAUUCAGGGAUCCACCCCCACCCCCACCCCGAGCACGUGCUUUGGGAAACCGGCCCCAUUCCCUCCCCCCACCCCUCACUGGUUUAGAGAAACCAGCACGUUCCAGCCUCUUGGCCGUGGUCCUUGGUACAAAGGCACGUCUCUCCCAAAAGAAGCGGCUUCAAUUCCACAGUCCUUCUCCACACAGCAUCCGAACGGUGAGAGUAACUUACAACUUAACUUCUUCAGCUGUCGACGUCUCUGCUGCUGCUUGUUCCUCGCCCACGCCGACAUCCAUUUCUCCUUUGUUGCCUUGCUCUGCGCCUUCUGUAUACAGGCGUAACAUGGAGGUUUAUUCAGCCUGAGGAAGCAAGCGGAUCCUGCCGUCUGCGAGUGUUAACGCCGGUGGGCCUGGAGGGCACUGGACGAAGAGAACUAAACCAGACAUGGAGAGAGGAGGACCGCAGGAGCUCACACGCGUGUGCGGCCUGAACACCGAAAACAAAGCGAGUGGAGCGGCAGUUGCCAAGGGCAGCGACGAGGGGGGGGGGGGGGGGGGGGGGGGAUGAUGGUCAGAGGCCAGAGUCAGGGUUUCGCAGGAUGCGUAAUGCCGGACAUCGACGUGCAGCAGGACGCCUACAGUUAAUUCUACGACAUGCCGGAAAUUUGCUUUUAAAAGUAGAUCUCAGGUGCUCUCACCACACACACACACACACACACACCUCAAAACCUUAUGCCUAACAGAAUAAAGGCAAACCACAGAACGGAAGAAAUUACUGCAAUAUAUACUACCAACUAAUAGUCAUAUCCAGAAUAUACCAAGAACUAGUACAAGUCAAUAGGAAAAAGAUAGAUAAAUAAAUACAAAAAUGAGCAAGAAACUUAAAUGGCUAUGUAAUACCAAAGGAUAUCCAAGUAGCAAAUAACUUAAGAAGUGCCAUCAGUCACCAUGGAAAUGCAACGGAAGACCACAGUGAGAAACCACUGCACUCCUGCCAGAAGGGCUUACAAAUAAAAAGAUGGAGCAGGGAGGUGGCGUCCAGGACGCAGGGCAAAGAGCGCACUCGCGCCCCCUGCUGUUAGGAGUGAAAAUUGGUGCCACUGCUGUGGAAAAGAGCUGGAUAUACGCUGCCUGCCAGCAGCUCCUCGCCCGCGGGUUUAUUUCCAGCAGAAACGUUCGCACAUUUUCAGCAAAAUACUCCAAAGGAAUGUCCUUAGUACCGUCACUCCUAACAGCCAAAUACUGGGACUAGUCCAAACGACCGCCACCAGCAGAACAGAUAAAUAACUUCACACUCAACGGCAGAGUCAUACUACUCAGGAGUUGAAAUGAACUUCAGCUACUUUUUCUAAAAGCAUUAAUUUCACAAGGUUAAUUUUGAACAAAAAACACCAUACACCAAAAAGGACAACGGUAUGAUUCCAUUUGGUUUUAGCUAAAGAACCUAGGCCAGUGGUUCUCAGCAGCAGCACCUGAUAACUUCUUAAGAAAAUUCUAAUACAGACCUACUGAAUCAGAAACUCUGAAGUGAGCGCCAGCAAUCUGUUUUAACAAAUCUUCCGAAGUUCCCGUUGUGGCUCAGCGAUAGCCGUGAGGAUUCGGGUUUGGUCCCUGGCCUCGCUCAGUGGGUUAAGGAUCCGGCGUUGCCGCGGUGCUGUAGGCCACAGAUGCUGCUCGGAUCCUGCGCUGCUGUGGCUGUGGCGGAGGCUGGCAGCUGCAGCUCCGAUUCAAUCCCUAGCCUGGGACCCUCCGUAUGCUGCGGGUGUGGCCCUAAAAAGGUGAAAAAACCCACCCCAAAUCUUGCAGGUGAGGCUGAUGUACACUAAAGCUUGAAAACAGUGAAAGUGAACUGUGGCGUCAGCAGUCCCGAGUGACUGUCGCUGGGAGAAGAGGGAGUGGUGACCAGUGGGGCAGGAGGGGAGCAGCAGGAAACAGCAGCGCGCUAUCCCCUGGCCGGGGGGAGGGGGGGGGAGUCAUGCAAGAGUUUUCCGUUUCUGGAGAGCCACUGAGCUAAAUGCACACUUGUGAGCUGUGCCCUUUGCUGUUUACCUGUCGGGUUUCAUUUUAAAAACCUACUAGAAAAGAGCUAGAUUACAAAACUGAGGAAAUCGUCCAAAAAUAAAAACAAAAAGACGGAAAAACAGGUAAGGGGUAAAACAAGGUACAGGACACACAGUGGCUCAGUAAGAGACAUUCGGGAAAAGAAAACAGAAAAAGAAGGAGAUGGAGACACCCACGGAAUGACUGAGGAAAAAGCUUCCCGGGACGCGUCCCAUGAACUUCCAAACGACUCGAAAGAGCCCCCACGUGCCUACAACGGAUGAAAGAAAAUAUAUAUACACACAUAGGCCAUUUGUCAUCAAAAACAAAAGAGAUCCCACAAGCUUCCAGGAGGGAAAACAGGUCUCGAGAACAGGUCAGACUCCGGAGAGGCUUGGGACCUCCCAGUACCAACGCAGGAAGCUAGGAGGCCUGAAGCAGCGCAUUUCAAAUCGAGAGAAAGGGCAGCUCCAAUUAGAUCCCUAGCCUGGGAACCUCCAUAUGCUGCGGGCGCGGCCC